CCAAUUAAAUCUAAUUAACCAAAUUAAAAUAGUAACGUGAAUUAAGAAAGGGAUUAGGUUACACUGAUUUGAAUGUCUUCUUCUCCCUCUCUUCUCUACUCGGUGCGGCGGCGGAAUUCUCCCUCUCUCCGAUCAAAUCACCGGCCACCGUUAACUCUCCAUCUCAAUCUCCCUUCCUCCGUCUCCAUGAACCAGCGGCGCCAUACCUCUCUCUUUCUCUUACCGUCGCGUUCUUGUUGAUUGCAGAAACGUCGGCGCAUUUUGAAGAUGAGAAGCCGAAGGUUGAGCGACGAGGUUCUUUGGUGAUUCGCAGAUGAAGAUGAAACUGAAGCUUGCGCGUUGCUAUGUAUCGUGGUGAUGAACGGUUGUUCGAUAUGUUGCGUGAUAUUGUUGCCGCAGUGUUGUUGCGUGAAGAUUUGAUGCAGAUGCGCUGAAGGUUACGCUAUGAUGAUGAUGAACGUAGCGAUGCGGUUAUCGUGAAGAUUGAAAGAGAAGAUUGAAGUCGUGAAGACGAUUCUUGAAUCAAUAUCUUUGGUGACGAUUUUUCAAGUUUUUGAUUAUUCUCUCUCCUUCUCCAAUUCUUGCUGCGCUUUUGUUUUUGUUGAUUAGGAAGAUGAUUUUCUCAGAAGUGAAAUUGGAGAGUGAUGAUUGAAGUGUGAAGAAAUUUCUAAUGAAGGUUAUGGUGGUUUGAAGGUAGAUUGAAGAGUGAUCGAUUGAGAGGUUGAAGAUCGAGAGGUGAAGGUCGAUGAAGAAGGUUCGGUGAUUGAAGAAUGGAAAGAGAGAGUUCAGAGGUGAUUUCGUGAUGAAGAUGAAGAUGAGCCAAAGUUUGUUACGUUUCGCUUUGACGAAGGGCCUGAUUUGGUUCGGCUUGAUGAAUUAUUGAACCGGUUUUUUGUCCAUGAGUGCAGCCUUUAACUUGCAGGGUUAUGUAUCAACAUGUUGUGACCGAAUUUAUGAAGAUGCAGCAAGUUUUGGAAGUGUGGCUCCGUUUGAUUGAAGUUAGCUACGGAAUUGGUUCGGGAUUGUUUUCUUAUGCAGUAAGGUGCUGCCUUGUUAAUGAAUGACCGACUCGGUUUUAUGAAUGCUAGCUUGGUGUCAUGGUCUCUUGCAGAAUUCUGCUUUGUAGUAAUUUUGUAAUGAGUUUGUGAGGUAAUGAUAUGGUAGGUGUAUGUAAUUGAUGAAACUUGUAACUUCAUAAUGGAUAGACCUUUUACAAAACCGAAUCAUGCCAUUUAUUUCAAUGCUUGCAGUUAAAACCGACAUUUGCAUUUAUCCUUUAAUAGUAACUCAAACCAUAACUUGAUAACAAAAAAAAUUGUUCAAUGAAGCACAACCCACCAAUACGUUGUAGUGGAAGAGACACUUGAAUGAAUCAUCAGGGUAAUUGAAUGAUCUUUGAAUCUUUGGAUGAAUAAGGUUGAAACUCGAACUUUAUAUGUUUGCACUUCGAUAAUCUUGAAUUGUUCCUUUUAACUUGUAUACCAAGAAAUCUCACACAAAUGCUUAAAGACUUUAAUUCACUUUGAUCAUUCUAGAACUUAUACCUACCUCAAGUCUCAAUGAACAAAU